UGGCGGACGGGUGAGUAACGCGUAGGUAUCUAUCCUUGGGUGGGGGGACAACCGUGGGAAACUACGGCUAAUACCGCAUGAUAACUGAGGUUUAAAGGCGCAAGUCGCCUGGGGCGGAGCCUGCGUACGAUUAGCUAGUUGGUGGGGUAAAGGCCUACCAAGGCUGUGAUCGUUAGCUGGUCUGAGAGGAUGAUCAGCCACAUUGGGACUGAGACACGGCCCAG
rnacentral:rRNA from 1 species